AUUCAGGGCAGGGGAGCAGCCAACAUAGGAUGUGCUGUUGGGUCUGCUACACGCUGGGCAGCUGGAGCUUAGUUUUGUGGGAUUCUCUGGGGAACGGUGUAAAUGCUCCAGAGUGACCCCCGAGAUGUGAGGCAGCUAGGGUAUUUAUCCACCAACUCCUGCCGAUCAUGGGCUCGGAAGCAGCUCCCGAAACGGACCAUUCAGGAAGUCCUGGAAGAGCAGAGUGAGGACGAGGACAGAGACGCCAAGAGGAAGAAGGAGGAGGAAGAAGCAGAGACCACGAAAGAAAGCCUCACAGAGGCUGAAGUGGCAACAGAGAAGGAAGGAGAAGACGGGGACCAGCCCACCACGCCUCCCAAGCCCCUGAAGACCUCCAAAGCAGAGACCCCGACGGAAAGCGUUUCAGAGCCUGAGGUGGCCACAAAGCAGGAACUGCAGGAGGAGGAGGAGCAGACCAAGCCUCCCCCGAGAGCUCCCAAGACGCUCAGCAGCUUCUUCACCCCCCGGAAGCCAGCAAUCAAAAAAGAAGUG
rnacentral:sRNA from 1 species